rnacentral:tRNA from 1 species
GGAGAUUUAGCUCAGCGGUAGAGCACUUGCCUAGCAAGCGCAAGGCCCUGGGUUCGGUCCCCAGCUCCA